rnacentral:rRNA from 1 species
AGUGAACGCUGGCGGUAGGCCUAACACAUGCAAGUCGAACGGCAGCACAGUAAGAGCUUGCUCUUACGGGUGGCGAGUGGCGGACGGGUGAGGAAUACAUCGGAAUCUACUUUUUCGUGGGGGAUAACGUAGGGAAACUUACGCUAAUACCGCAUACUACCUACGGGUGAAAGCAGGGGAUCUUCGGACCUUGCGCGAUUGAAUGAGACGAUGUCGGAUUAGCUAGUUGGCGAGGUAAAGGCCCACCAAGGCGACGAUCCGUAGCUGGUCUGAGAGGAUGAUCAGCCACACUGGAACUGAGACACGGUCCAGACUCCUACGGGAGGCAGCAGUGGGGAAUAUUGGGCAAUGGGCGCAAGCCUGACCCAGCCAUACCGCGUGAGUGAAGAAGGCCUUCGGGUUGUAAAGCCCUUUUGUUGGGAAAGAAAAGCAGCAGGUUAAUACCCCGCUGUUCUGACGGUACCCAAAGAAUAAGCACCGGCUAACUUCGUG